rnacentral:rRNA from 1 species
GUGCCAGCAGCCGCGGUAAGACGAAGGGGGCUAGCGUUGUUCGGAAUUACUGGGCGUAAAGCGCGCGCAGGCGGUCUUUCACGUCCGGGGUGAAAGCCCAGAGCUCAACUCUGGGAUUGCCUUGGAUACGGGGAGACUUGAGGGUCGGAGAGGCAAGGGGAAUUCCACGUGUAGCGGUGAAAUGCGUAGAUAUCAGGAGGAACACCCGUGGCGAAGGCGGCUCUCUGGCCUGUAACUGACGCUGAGGCGCGAAAGCGUGGGGAGCAAACAGGAUUAGAUACCCUGGUAGUCCACGCCGUAAACGAUGAGUGCUAGGUGUCGGGGGUUUCGAUACCCUCGGUGCCGAAGUCAACACAGUAAGCACUCCGCCUGGGGAGUACGCUCGCAAGAGUGAAACUCAAAUGAAUUGACGG